CGGUUAAGUUAGAAAGGGCGCACGGUGGAUGCCUUGGCACUAGGAGCCGAUGAAGGACGGGACGAACACCGAUAUGCUUCGGGGAGCUGUAAGCAAGCUUUGAUCCGGAGAUUUCCGAAUGGGGAAACCCACCACUCGUAAUGGAGUGGUAUCCAUAUCUGAAUACAUAGGAUAUGAGAAGGCAGACCCGGGGAACUGAAACAUCUAAGUACCCGGAGGAAGAGAAAGCAAAUGCGAUUCCCUGAGUAGCGGCGAGCGAAACGGGACCAGCCCAAACCAAGAGGCUUGCCUCUUGGGGUUGUAGGACACUCUGUACGGAGUUACAAAGGAACGAGGUAGAUGAAGAGGUCUGGAAAGGCCCGCCAUAGGAGGUAACAGCCCUGUAGUCAAAACUUCGUUCUCUCCUGAGUGGAUCCUGAGUACGGCGGAACACGUGAAAUUCCGUCGGAAUCCGGGAGGACCAUCUCCCAAGGCUAAAUACUCCCUAGUGACCGAUAGUGAACCAGUACCGUGAGGGAAAGGUGAAAAGCACCCCGGAAGGGGAGUGAAAGAGAUCCUGAAACCGUGUGCCUACAAGUAGUCAGAGCCCGUUAACGGGUGAUGGCGUGCCUUUUGUAGAAUGAACCGGCGAGUUACGAUCCCGUGCAAGGUUAAGCAGAAGAUGCGGAGCCGCAGCGAAAGCGAGUCUGAAUAGGGCGAAUUGAGUACGUGGUCGUAGACCCGAAACCAGGUGAUCUACCCAUGUCCAGGGUGAAGUUCAGGUAACACUGAAUGGAGGCCCGAACCCACGCACGUUGAAAAGUGCGGGGAUGAGGUGUGGGUAGGGGUGAAAUGCCAAUCGAACCUGGAGAUAGCUGGUUCUCUCCGAAAUAGCUUUAGGGCUAGCCUCAAGGUAAGAGUCUCGGAGGUAGAGCACUGAUUGGACUAGGGGCCCCUACCGGGUUACCGAAUUCAGUCAAACUCCGAAUGCCGAUGACUUAUCCUUGGGAGUCAGACUGCGAGUGAUAAGAUCCGUAGUCGAAAGGGAAACAGCCCAGACCGCCAGCUAAGGUCCCAAAGUAUACGUUAAGUGGAAAAGGAUGUGGAGUUGCUUAGACAACCAGGAUGUUGGCUUAGAAGCAGCCACCAUUUAAAGAGUGCGUAAUAGCUCACUGGUCGAGUGACUCUGCGCCGAAAAUGUACCGGGGCUAAACGUAUCACCGAAGCUGCGGACUGUUCUUCGAACAGUGGUAGGAGAGCGUUCUAAGGGCUGUGAAGCAAGACCGGAAGGACUUGUGGAGCGCUUAGAAGUGAGAAUGCCGGUAUGAGUAGCGAAAGAGGGGCGAGAAUCCCCUCCACCGAAUGCCUAAGGUUUCCUGAGGAAGGCUCGUCCGCUCAGGGUUAGUCGGGACCUAAGCCGAGGCCGAAAGGCGUAGGCGAUGGAUAACAGGUUGAUAUUCCUGUACCACCUCCUCACCAUUUGAGCAAUGGGGGGACGCAGGAGGAUAGGGUAAGCGCGGUAUUGGAUAUCCGCGUCCAAGCAGUUAGGCUGGGAAAUAGGCAAAUCCGUUUCUCGUGAAGGCUGAGCUGUGAUGGCGAGCGAAUUAUAGUAGCGAAGUUCCUGAUUCCACACUGCCAAGAAAAGCCUCUAGCGAGGUGAGAGGUGCCCGUACCGCAAACCGACACAGGUAGGCGAGGAGAGAAUCCUAAGGUGAUCGAGAGAACUCUCGUUAAGGAACUCGGCAAAAUGACCCCGUAACUUCGGGAGAAGGGGUGCUCUGUUAGGGUGCAAGCCCGAGAGAGCCGCAGUGAAUAGGCCCAGGCGACUGUUUAGCAAAAACACAGGUCUCUGCGAAGCCGUAAGGCGAAGUAUAGGGGCUGACGCCUGCCCGGUGCUGGAAGGUUAAGAGGAGCGCUUAGCGUAAGCGAAGGUGCGAAUUGAAGCCCCAGUAAACGGCGGCCGUAACUAUAACGGUCCUAAGGUAGCGAAAUUCCUUGUCGGGUAAGUUCCGACCCGCACGAAAGGCGCAACGAUCUGGGCACUGUCUCAACGAGAGACUCGGUGAAAUUAUAGUACCUGUGAAGAUGCAGGUUACCCGCGACAGGACGGAAAGACCCCGUGGAGCUUUACUGCAGCCUGAUAUUGAAUGUUGGUACAGCUUGUACAGGAUAGGUAGGAGCCUUGGAAACCGGAGCGCCAGCUUCGGUGGAGGCAUCGGUGGGAUACUACCCUGGCUGUAUUGACCUUCUAACCCGCCGCCCUUAUCGGGCGGGGAGACAGUGUCAGGUGGGCAGUUUGACUGGGGCGGUCGCCUCCUAAAAGGUAACGGAGGCGCCCAAAGGUUCCCUCAGAAUGGUUGGAAAUCAUUCGCAGAGUGUAAAGGCACAAGGGAGCUUGACUGCGAGACCUACAAGUCGAGCAGGGACGAAAGUCGGGCUUAGUGAUCCGGUGGUUCCGCAUGGAAGGGCCAUCGCUCAACGGAUAAAAGCUACCCCGGGGAUAACAGGCUUAUCUCCCCCAAGAGUCCACAUCGACGGGGAGGUUUGGCACCUCGAUGUCGGCUCAUCGCAUCCUGGGGCUGUAGUCGGUCCCAAGGGUUGGGCUGUUCGCCCAUUAAAGCGGUACGCGAGCUGGGUUCAGAACGUCGUGAGACAGUUCGGUCCCUAUCCGUCGCGGGCGCAGGAAAUUUGAGAGGAGCUGUCCUUAGUACGAGAGGACCGGGAUGGACGCACCGCUGGUGUACCAGUUGUUCUGCCAAGGGCAUCGCUGGGUAGCUAUGUGCGGACGGGAUAAGUGCUGAAAGCAUCUAAGCAUGAAGCCCCCCUCAAGAUGAGAUUUCCCAUUCCGCAAGGAAGUAAGAUCCCUGAAAGAUGAUCAGGUUGAUAGGUCUGAGGUGGAAGUGUGGCGACACAUGGAGCUGACAGAUACUAAUCGAUCGAGGACUUAACCAAUUU
rnacentral:rRNA from 1 species